rnacentral:rRNA from 1 species
GGUUAAGUGACUAAGCGUACACGGUGGAUGCCUUGGCAAUCAGAGGCGAAGAAGGACGUGCUAAUCUGCGAAAAGCUUGGGAGAGUUGAUAAGAAACGCUAUCAUCCCAAGAUAUCCGAAUGGGGAAACCCAAUAGGUGAAGAACCUAUUAUCAAAUGGUGAAUACAUAGCCAUUUGAAGCGAACCGGGAGAACUGAAACAUCUAAGUACCCCGAGGAAAAGAAAUCAACCGAGAUUCUGUGAGUAGCGGCGAGCGAAAGUGGAAGAGCCAGUUAGUUUUAGCAGUAGUAUUAAGAGAAUGAGUUGGGAAACUCAAUCAUAGAGGGUGAUAAUCCCGUAUCUGAAAAUGCAAUUGUGGAACUAAGCUAACGAUAAGUAGGGCGGGACACGUGAUAUCCUGUUUGAAGAUGGGGGGACCAUCCUCCAAGGCUAAAUACUCCUGAUUGACCGAUAGUGAACGAGUACUGUGAAGGAAAGGUAAAAAGAACCCCUGCGAGGGGAGUGAAAUAGAACCUGAAACCGUGUACGUACAAGCAGUAGGAGC